CCUACGGGCGGCAGCAGUGGGGAAUAUUGGGCAAUGGACGCAAGUCUGACCCAGCAACGCCGCGUGAAGGAAGAAGGCUUUCGGGUUGUACACUUCUUUUAAGGGGGAAGAGCAGAAGACGGUAACCCUUGAAUCAGCCACGGCUAACUACGUGCCAGCCGCCGCGGUAAUACGUAGGUGGCAAGCGUUGUCCGGAUUUACUGGGUGUAAAGGGCGUGCAGCCGGCGGGACAAGUCAGAUGUGAAAUCCCCGGGCUCAACCCGGGAACUGCUUUUGAAACUGUUGACCUUGAGUGUCGGAGAGGUAAUCGGAAUUCCUAGUGUAGCGGUGAAAUGCGUAGAUAUUAGGAAGAACACCAGUGGCGAAGGCGGAUUACUGGACGAUAACUGACGGUGAGGCGCGAAAGCGUGGGGAGCAAACAGGAUUAGAUACCCGGGUAGUC
rnacentral:rRNA from 1 species